rfam:Dipodomys ordii contig_80741, whole genome shotgun sequence.
UGGCUCAGUGGUAGAGCGCUUGCCUUGCAUGCCUGAGGCCCUGGGUUCGAUUCCCCAG